CGCACAGUAAACGAUGGAUGCCCGCUGUUGGUACCUGGUAUCAGCGGCUAAGCGAAAGCAUUAAGCAUCUCACCUGGGGAGUACGCCGGCAACGGUGAAACUCAAAGGAAUUGACGGGGGCCCGCACAAGCGGAGGAACAUGUGGUUUAAUUCGAUGAUACGCGAGGAACCUUACCCGGGCUUGAAUUGCAGAGGAAGGAUUUAGAGAUAAUGACGCCCUUCGGGCCGUCUGUGAAGUGCUGCAUGGUUGUCGUCAGCUCGUGCCGUGAGGUGUCGGCUUAAGUGCCAUAACGAGCGCAACCCCUCUCUUCAGUUGCCAUCAGGUAGUGCUGGGCACUCUGGAGACACUGCCACCGUAAGGUGU
rnacentral:rRNA from 1 species